rnacentral:rRNA from 1 species
GAUGAACGCUGGCGGCGUGCCUAAUACAUGCAAGUCGAACGCUGAAGGAGGAGCUUGCUCUUCUGGAUGAGUUGCGAACGGGUGAGUAACGCGUAGGUAACCUGCCUGGUAGCGGGGGAUAACUAUUGGAAACGAUAGCUAAUACCGCAUGACAACAGUUAUUGCAUGAUAACUGUUAAAAAGGGGCAACUGUUCUACUACCAGAUGGUCCGGCGUUGUAUUAGCUAGUGGUUGAGGUAAUGGCUCACCACGGCGACGAUACAUAGCCGACCUGAGGGGGGAACCGGCCACACGGGACCGAGAACACGUCCCGGCUCCCUAGGGAGGGCAGCAUAGGGAAAUCUUCGGCAAGGGACGGAAGUCUGACCGAGCAACGCCGCUUGGGUGAAGAAGGUUUUCGGAUCUUAAAGCUCUGUUGUAAGAGAAAAACAAGUGUGAGAGUAGAAAGUACACACUGAGACGACAUCUUACCAGAGAGAGACGUCUAACUACG